GGGUGAGGAGCACAGUGGUUUGAGCCUUGGACUACAACUUUGGAGAUCAGGGUUCAAAUCCCUGCUCAGCCA